rnacentral:lncRNA from 1 species
GCUCUGCAAAAUCCUGGUCCCGUUAGCUAGAGAGGGUUGUGGAAACAAAUGAACCUGGUUCACUGACUUGGCCUCUAAUCCCAGACUGAGGUUUACCCGAAGGGCGACAGACCAAGUUCCCUUCUAUCUCUGGACAUGUCUCUAGCCCGGACGCCGCCCAUCUCCAUCACCGAAUCCCACGCUUGCCCACCACCAUGGCCAGCAGUUCAUUAGAGGGGACCCAACUACUUCAAUCGGAAAUGGAGGCGGACAUCUCUUAAUCGAAGUAGCCUUGUUGAGCCGACAGAUUGACAGCCAAGGCAGAGCUCACCACCACCAGGAGGAAGUUUACUGCCUCACAGGUGCCAUCUGACGGUAGCAGCUGAACGGAACCUUAGUAGGUCUUUUGUGACAGCUUUGAGCGCCACUGAAAAUAAGCUUCGCACAAAUUGCUUUUUCUUAGUUCGAUGCUCCGGUUGUCCAAGGGUUCACUGUUGAAUUUUAUUGAUAAUGGAUUGAUGGUAAAGGUUGUUGAUUCACACAUGACCUCGGUUCCAGCCCAGUUCUUCAUUCUGGUCUUCUUAUCAAUCUGCCACGCUACUGGCUUAAACCCAGAUGGUCCUUGUAAGGUGGCCACUCUACUGAACACAGCUGGCUGUUACUGACGGUUACUACUUCGGAGCUACAAUUCUUCCGUCUGUCAUCCAUCCCAGAGACCAAAUCAGUAAGACAUGGAAUCUUCAUCAGUCAAGAGCCAAGUACUUUGAAGUAUUCAUAUAUACCAGCUGCAAGAAACAUACCACGGCUACACUUAAACCUAAACACGUGGACCGCAUGAUAUUACUGCUAAAUUGGAUUUAUUAAGGUUCACAAUUUCUUGGAGGCAACUAUAUGUAUUUAGGCAAUUUCUAGGAUGAUAGAAAGUAAAAAAAGGAGGAUAUCUAAACUGAUGCUUUCAUUUUUUUUAGUAAUUGAUUUUCUAAAAGAAUAGGACUUACUCUGUCUAUUUUUAAACUAGGAUGUAUGUUUUGAGUUGAUUUUCCGAUAACGGAGAUGAGUUUUCCUCAAUACAUGUGUGUAAUGGUUCUAUGAAUAAUAGCACACAUUGGCGAGAGAGCUGGCCAAGGCGAGAAGAAUGUUCAUUCACGUAAAGGUAAUAUGGUCAGAUCACAAUGAACUUGUGGAAAGUUCACAGUAGCACCAUGUUAUACCCAAACCAUACGAAUAAAUCUGAAUGUGGAAUAAUUAUACUCA